GACAGAGGUGCCGAGCGUUAGGCGGAAUCACUGGGCUUAAAGCGUGUGUAGGCGGACUUCUAAGUGCCUUGUGAAAUCCCACGGCUCAACCGUGGAACUGCUGGGCAUACUGGGAGUCUUGAGCCAGCUAGGGGCUACCGGAACAAAUGGUGGAGCGGUGAAAUGCGUAGAUAUCAUUUGGAACGCCAAUGGUGAAAACAGGUAGCUGGGGCUGUGGCUGACGCUGGAGACACGAAAGCCAGGGGAGCGAACGGG
rnacentral:rRNA from 1 species